rnacentral:rRNA from 1 species
GACGAACGCUGGCGGCGCGCCUAACACAUGCAAGUCGAACGAGCGAGAGAGAGCUUGCUUUCUCGAGCGAGUGGCGAACGGGUGAGUAACGCGUGAGGAACCUGCCUCAAAGAGGGGGACAACAGUUGGAAACGACUGCUAAUACCGCAUAAGCCCACAGUGCCGCAUGGCACAGCGGGAAAAGGAUUUAUUCGCUUCAGGAUGGACUCGCGUCCAAUUAGCUAGUUGGUGAGGUAACGGCCCACCAAGGCGACGAUUGGUAGCCGGACUGAGAGGUUGAACGGCCACAUUGGGACUGAGACACGGCCCAG